rnacentral:rRNA from 1 species
UACAAUGGCCGCUACAGAGAGAAACGAAACAGUGAUGUGGAGUAAAACUUAGAAAAAACGGUCUCAGUUCGGAUUNAAGGCUGAAAUUCGCCUUCAUGAAGCUGGAAUUGCUAGUAAUGGCAGGUCAGCAUACUGCCGUGAAUACGUUCCCGGGCCUUGUACACACCGCCCGUCAAGCCAUGGGAGCCGGGGGUACCUGAAGUGCGUAACCGCGAGGAUCGCCCUAGGGUAAAACUGGUGACUGGGGCUAAGUCGUAACAAGGUAUC